rnacentral:tRNA from 1 species
UGGAGAGUUGUCCGAGUUGGCCGAAGGAGCAUCAUUGGAAAUGAUGUAAACGGGUAAAAGCCUGUUUCAAGGGUUCGAAUCCCUUACUCUCCGU